rnacentral:rRNA from 1 species
UACGUAGGCAGCGAGCGUUGUUCGGAAUUACUGGGCGUAAAGAGUGUGUAGGCGGUGCUCUAAGUCUGUCGUGAAAUCUCCCGGCUUAACCGGGAGGCUGCGGCGGAAACUGGUGUGCUAGAGGGUGGGAGAGGUAAGCGGAAUUCCUGGUGUAGCGGUGAAAUGCGUAGAUAUCAGGAGGAACACCUGCGGUGUAGACAGCUUACUGGACCACUUCUGACGCUGAGACACGAACGAGCGUGGUAGGCAAACAGG